AGUAAAGAAUCUUCCGCAAUGGACGAAAGUCUGACGGAGCAACACUGCGUGGGGGAUGAAGGCCUUCGGGUCGUAAACUCCUUUUCUGGGUGAAGAAGUUCUGACGGUAACCCAGGAAUAAGCGACGGCUAAUUACGUGCCAGCAGCCGCGGUAAUACGUAAGUCGCAAGCGUUAUCCGGAAUCAUUGGGCGUAAAGCGUCCGCAGGCGGUUUUGUUAGUCUAUGGUUAAAUCCCAGGGCUCAACCCUGGAAUCGUCAUGGAAACUACAAAACUUGAGGUGUGCAGGGGCAGAUGGAAUUCCAGAAGUAGGGGUAAAAUCCGUAGAUCUCUGGAGGAACACCAAACGCGAAGGCAUUCUGCUGGGCACUACCUGACGCUGAGGGACGAAAGCGUGGGGAGCAAACGGGAUUAGAUACCCCGGUAGUCCACGCCGUAAACGAUGGAUACUCGGUUUUGGAGGAUUCGAYCCCUUCAGAGCCUAAGCUAACGCAUUAAGUA
rnacentral:rRNA from 1 species